CCUACGUGUGGCAGCAGUGAGGAAUAUUGGUCAAUGGGCGCGAGCCUGAACCAGCCAAGUAGCGUGAAGGAUGACUGCCCUACGGGUUGUAAACUUCUUUUAUAAAGGAAUAAAGUGAGGCACGUGUGCCUUUUUGUAUGUACUUUAUGAAUAAGGAUCGGCUAACUCCGUGCCAGCAGCCGCGGUAAUACGGAGGAUCCGAGCGUUAUCCGGAUUUAUUGGGUUUAAAGGGAGCGUAGAUGGGUUGUUAAGUAAGUUGUGAAAGUUUGCGGCUCAACCGUAAAAUUGCAAGUGAUACUGGCAGUCUUGAGUACAGUUGAGGUAGGCGGAAUUCGUGGUGUAGCGGUGAAAUGCUUAGAUAUCACGAAGAACUCCGAUUGCGAAGGCAGCUUACUAAACUGCCACUGACAUUGAUGCUCGAAAGUGUGGGUAUCAAACAGGAUUAAAUACCCCUGUAGUC
rnacentral:rRNA from 1 species